rnacentral:snRNA from 1 species
AUUGCUUCUCGGCCUUUUGGCUAAGAUCAAGUGUAGUAUAGCACACAUCCAUAACUUACCAAACAAUUUUUUAACUUCACCAUCU